CUGCUGCACGGCUGUCGUCAGCUCGUGCUGUGAAAUGUUGGGCUAAGUCCCGCAACGAGCGCAACCCUUAUCCUUUGUUGCCAGCGGUCCGGCCGGGAACUCACAGGAGACUGCCAGUGAUAAACUGGAGGAAGGUGGGGAUGACGUCCAGUCAUCAUGGCCCGUACGACCAGGGCUACACACGUGGUACAAGGGCGCAUAAAAUGAGACGCGCGCUAGCGAGAGCAAGCGGACAUCAUAAAGCGCGUCG
rnacentral:rRNA from 1 species